CUUGUCCGCCCAAUAACUUAAGAUUCCUUUGACCUACAGUCGACAUAUUUGGCAUGGAGGUUAGUCAUGAUUAGUAGAUGACCCCUAUUGAUUUUGAGGUCACUAGGUCAAAGGUCAAGGUCACAGGGGCCUUGACUUCAAAAAGCUUGUCCGCCCAAUAACUUAAGAUUCCUUUGACCUACAGUCGUCAUAUUUGGCAUGGAGGUUAGUCAUGAUUAGUAGAUGACCCCUAUUGAUUUUGAGGUCACUAGGUCAAAGGUCAAGGUCACAGGGGCCUUGACUUCAAAAAGCUUGUCCGCCCAAUAACUUAAGAUUCCUUUGACCUACAGUCGUCAUAUUUGGCAUGGAGGUUAGUCAUGAUUAGUAGAUGACCCCUAUUGAUUUUGAGGUCACUAGGUCAAAGGUCACAGGGGCCUUGACUUCAAAAAGCUUGUCCGCCCAAUAACUUAAGAUUCCUUUGACCUACAGUUGUCAUAUUUGGCAUGGAUGUUGAUCAUGAUUAGUAGAUGACCCCUUUUGAUUUUGAGGUCACUGGAUCAAAGGUCAAGGUCAUAGGGACUUUGACUUCAAAAAGUUUGUCCACCCAUUAACUUAAGAUUCCUUUGACCCACAGUCUUCAUAUUUGGCAUGGAUGUUGAUCAUGACUAUAAGAAGACCCCUAUUGAUUUUGAGGUCACUGGGUCAAAGGUCAAGGUCACAGGGACCUUGACAAAAAAAAAGCUUUUCAUCUCAAUUGCUAAAGAAUGUCCUGUCAGCAAUGUAUUGAUUUUGACAUUUUCACAUUUGAAGCAUGUAGAAUACAUAACUUAGCAAUGCACUGGUUUAGUAACCUCAGAUUUGGUAGGGAGGUUGUCCUUGAGCUCUAAAUGGCCACUGUUGAUUCUGACAAAGUGGUAUGCGGGGGUAUUCACGCCAUGAUAGUGGCAGUUCUAGUUAUUUUAACA